UACGUAGGUGGCGAGCGUUGUUCGGAAUUACUGGGCGUAAAGGGCGCGUAGGCGGCCUGUUAAGUCGAACGUGAAAUCCCCGGGCUCAACCCGGGAACUGCGUCCGAUACUGGCAGGCUUGAAUCCGGGAGAGGGAUGCGGAAUUCCAGGUGUAGCGGUGAAAUGCGUAGAUAUCUGGAGGAACACCGGUGGCGAAGGCGGCAUCCUGGACCGGUAUUGACGCUGAUGCGCGAAAGCCAGGGGAGCAAACGGG
rnacentral:rRNA from 1 species